CGGGACGGGUGAGUAACGCGUGGGUAACCUGCCCUGUACAGGGGGAUAACAGUUGGAAACGGCUGCUAAAACCGCAUAACAUGGAGAUACCGCAUGAUAUUUCCAUCAAAUAUUUAUAGGUACAGGAUGGGCCCGCGUCUGAUUAGCCAGUUGGCAGGGUAAUGGCCUACCAAAGCGACGAUCAGUAGCCGGCUUGAGAGAGUGACCGGCCACAUUGGGACUGAGACACGGCCCAAACUCCUACGGAAGGCAGCAG
rnacentral:rRNA from 1 species